rnacentral:tRNA from 1 species
GAUGGUGUAGCUCAGUAGGAUAGAGCAGCAGCCUUCUAAGCUGUCGGUCGGUGGUUCGACUCCACCCACCAUCGCCA